rnacentral:rRNA from 1 species
UACGUAGGGGGCAAGCGUUAUCCGGAAUGACUGGGUGUAAAGGGAGCGUAGACGGUUGUUCAAGUCUGAUGUGAAAGCCCUCGGCUUAACUGGGGGAGUGCAUUGGAAACUGAAGGACUAGAGUAUCGGAGAGGCAAGUGGAAUUCCUAGUGUAGCGGUGAAAUGCGUAGAUAAUAGGAGGAACACCAGUGGCGAAGGCGGCUUGCUGGACGAAAACUGACGUUGAGGCUCGAAAGCGUGGGGAGCAAACAGG